UUUAUUGAGAGUUUGAUCCUGGCUCAGGACGAACGCUGGCGGCGUGCCUAACACAUGCAAGUCGAACGAGAAUCAGGGAGCUUGCUCCCUGAGGACAGUGGCGGACGGGUGAGUAACGCGUGAGCAAUCUGCCUUUCGGUGGGGGACAACAGUUGGAAACGGCUGCUAAUACCGCAUAACGUAUCGAGGUGGCAUCACUUUGAUACCAAAGAUUUAUCGCCGAAAGAUGAGCUCGCGUCUGAUUAGUUUGUUGGUGAGGUAAUGGCUCACCAAGACUGCGAUCAGUAGCCGGACUGAGAGGUUGAACGGCCACAUUGGGACUGAGAUACGGCCCAGACUCCUACGGGAGGCAGCAGUGGGGAAUAUUGGGCAAUGGGGGAAACCCUGACCCAGCAACGCCGCG
rnacentral:rRNA from 1 species